UCUCCAAUGACGAAGCUAGCCAAAGAGGCCGUUAAGCUUCCGGAGAAGCCGUCGAUAUGCACCGCCGACAAGCUCCACUACGUCUCCGUGCCCACCUCCGAUUGAAGGCUCGCCCUCUUGUGAUACCGCCUUUGCCCCACUGCCCCUCAGAGGAAUCACCCAUUGCUGCUAUUGUCUGGGUAUAGGCUGCUGCAUUCCUUUCAUUGGGUAUAGCUGCUGUAAGGUGCUGCGUUCUUUUCUCUUCCUCUCUUAGAGUCUCAGAGAUCGAAGGCUUCUACUCUUCGUCUUCAAUUUGGGGUUAUGGAAGGGACAUCUGAGACUCCCAAUUCCACUCCCAUGCAUACUCCAACUAAUGGUUCCAGCACUGGAACCACUCCAACACCCACACCCACACCUACUCAGAUGGUGGAUCAAGGUUAUCAACAAGGAGCUGCAGCACUGCCUAGUUGGAUGAACAGACUAAUACUUAAUAGGACAUGCUAAGUCGGAAGCUAUAGACAAGCUCUUUGAAGUACACUAGCAUAGCUGUGGUUUGCAAAUGAGUCAAGAGACUUAUGAAUGAGAAAAUUUAUCUCCUUCAAAUUGUGACUAAAAUAUGUAAGUUUCAUCAACUUACUUGUGCUCCUGUAGACCGCUUGAGCUUUGAAAUGGUUGCUCAGAGAUAAUGCAAGUGUUGAUGCUGCUUUGGAGAAGUAAUAGAUAUAGUUUCUGGAUGUUUUGGAGAAGUAAUAGGUUUGUAGGGUUUGUAUUACUAGCACACAAGUACAUAACCUUGUUAGUUGAUAAUGUAUUACUUGUGCAAUUUUGCAAUAUAUUACAAACAUUACUUGUAUUUAUGCUUGUUCUUGUAUUACUUUUGCGAGCAGUUAAAAGAUGAAGGAACUUAUUGUUACA